rnacentral:rRNA from 1 species
CGUAGGCGCAAGCGUUGUCCGGAAUUAUUGGGCGUAAAGAGCUCGUAGGCGGUUUGUCGCGUCUGCUGUGAAAGCCCGGGGCUCAACCCCGGGUCUGCAGUGGGUACGGGCAGACUAGAGUGCAGUAGGGGAGACUGGAAUUCCUGGUGUAGCGGUGAAAUGCGCAGAUAUCAGGAGGAACACCGAUGGCGAAGGCAGGUCUCUGGGCUGUUACUGACGCUGAGGAGCGAAAGCAUGGGAGCGAACAGGAUU